rnacentral:lncRNA from 1 species
CUCAGCAUCUCAUUGAAAGGCCCAGAGCAAGAGCACCUUGAACCUCUUCUCCGAAUGCAAUCACUCAUUCAUUCGUGCAGUGAGUGCCAUCUAGGUGCCAGUCAUUGAUUCUGACACAGCAGUGAAAAAAAUGUCUCUGCUCUCGUGGAGCUUGCAUGACAUUCUAGUUGAAGAAAAGACUAAGAGGUUACCUGUGAAACCUAUGCACAGCACCUGUUACAAACAUGAAGGGCAGUUCCCGGUAUCCGUCCCCAUUCUGAACUGUCAAUUAUAAUAAUAAGAGCAGGUGGAGGGAAUCAACAGGACUUCAGUGAUGAACUAGGUAAGAUGCUAUGGAACAAUGGUAAAAUGGGGAAGUAACAUCUAAAUGUGACUUCCCUUCUGUAUAUGAAUCGGCAACAUUGUGAGUUUGUGCUAUGGAUGACUAUGGGAACAAUUGAUCUUGAUAGCUGCUGCUGCUGUUGAAAACAAGAUGACAGACCCCAAACUGCCAUU